AGAGGGACUUGUUUCGAGAAGAGAGAAAGGGAGAAAAAGUUUAAAAGGAAUAAGGGAGCCCGGAGAGAGUGGCAAUUACGAGUCCUGUCUCCACACAACGCGCAGCGAGGGAGAGAGGGGCCACCGCUCGGCAAUUCUUGCCGCCGCCGCUGCCUUGCCUGCCUCUCUCAGCACCACGAACCCAGCCGAUCCAGCCUGCACAUGAGACUCAACAUGGUGCUGCUGGAUCACACAAUGAAUUGGCAAACCAGCACUUCUUCCCCAAGCGAAGGAUGGGCAGAGUUGUAAGACUUUUAACGCGCGUCACGUUUGGGAAUGCAUAACUCUCGUGCUUUCUUUUUUCAAUUGUGCCUUUCUGAAUGUAUCUCGCCUUGUUAAAACUGAUGCUCUCUUCCGUGUUGCAGUGCUGGCAACCCUGCAAGGUACACAUCUACGUUUAUGUAAGGGAUCUCGUGUUUGGUCUUGUUAUCAAUGGCUUUUUUCCCCCUACGAAGAUGUUUCGUUUUUAACAAGCUCUUUUUU